rnacentral:rRNA from 13 species
CAAGUAAGCUAGUAGAGUAUACGAAGGCGUUUGAGCUAACAAUCAUUAAGGAACUCGGCAAAAUGACACCGUAACUUCGGGAUAAGGUGUGCCAUUCUUCCAUCGCCCGGCUUCCGGACGAUGGUUAAGAAUAGGAGGCAUAGAAUGGUGUUGUACGACUGUUUAAUUAAAACAAAGCACUUUGCGUAAGAUGACAAAUCAAAGUAUUGAGUGUGAAUUCUGCCCAAUGUUGGCUGGUUAACGGAUUUACUUAGCUGACUAAAAUAAGCUAGGAUUUGAAGGAACCCCCAAUCAAUGGCGGCCUUACCGAUGAGGGUCCUAAGGUAGCGGAAUACCUUGGCCGUUAAAUGCGGUCUUGCAUGAAUGAUUUAACGAUACAACAGCUGUCUCAAUGAUUGGCUCAGUGAAAUUGGAAUAACUGUGCAGAUACAGUUUACCUCUAGUUAGACGAGAAGACCCUAUGCAGCUUUACUGUUGCUAGUUAUUGGAUAUGAUCAAACGAGUUGUAGUGUAUAAGGUAGUUGGUGA